rnacentral:rRNA from 1 species
UACGUAGGGUGCGAGCGUUACUCGGAAUUACUGGGCGUAAAGCGUGCGCAGGCGGUGAUGUAAGACAGAUGUGAAAUCCCCGGGCUCAACCUGGGAACUGCAUUUGUGACUGCAUCGCUGGAGUGCGGCAGAGGGGGAUGGAAUUCCGCGUGUAGCAGUGAAAUGCGUAGAUAUGCGGAGGAACACCGAUGGCGAAGGCAAUCCCCUGGGCCUGCACCGACGCUCAUGCACGAAAGCGUGGGGAGCAAACAGG